UGGGGAAUAUUGCACAAUGGGCGCAAGCCUGAUGCAGCCAUGCCGCGUGUGUGAAGAAGGCCUUCGGGUUGUAAAGCACUUUCAGCGAGGAGGAAGGGUUCAGUGUUAAUAGCACUGUUCAUUGACGUUACUCGCAGAAGAAGCACCGGCUAACUCCGUGCCAGCAGCCGCGGUAAUACGGAGGGUGCAAGCGUUAAUCGGAAUUACUGGGCGUAAAGCGCACGCAGGCGGUUUGUUAAGUCAGAUGUGAAAUCC
rnacentral:rRNA from 1 species